rfam:Bombyx mori DNA, contig: Bm_scaf81_contig32942, strain: p50T/Dazao, build 2, whole genome shotgun sequence.
UUACCUAAAAUUUGUAUGGAGUUGGAAAGUUUGCCUAAGUUUGCCGCUAGGGGCGCUGUUUCAACUGCAUACAAAUUUGAGUUA